AAGUCGAUUUUGGGCAUUGCCAUCGAGGGCGGGGCCAAUACCAAGCAUCCACUGCCCAGGAUCAUCAACAUACACGAUAAUGGAGCAGCGUAUGAGGCCGGUGGUCUCGAGGUCGGUCAGCUGAUCCUAGAAGUGGACGGUUACAAGGUGGAAGGUCUCCAUCAUCAGGAGGUAGCAAGACUGAUCGCCGAGUCGUUCGCGAGGCGCGACCGCAACGAGAUCGAGUUCCUGGUAGUCGAGGCAAAGAAGAGCAACCUGGAGCCGAAGCCGACGGCUCUGAUAUUCCUGGAAGCGUAGCAGGAAUCUCCCACCUCCGAGCCGGAACCACCGUAGCCUGACAUGUCCAGAGCUCGGCCCGCGACACACUUGGAGCGUCGUCGACGCUGAACCGUCAAAGAGGCUG